UCAAGUGUGGCGUAGUGGUUUGAAUGUUGGACUAUGACUCUGGAGACCAGGGUUCGAUUCCCUACUCAG
rnacentral:tRNA from 1 species